rnacentral:rRNA from 1 species
AGCUCCAAUAGCGAAUAUUAAAGUUGUUGCGGUUAAAAAGCUCGUAGUUGGAUCUACGAUCAAGUCAUGUGGUCACUCUGCCUGAGUGCACUGCACUGACUGAUCCAUAUAUCCAGUAUUCGAUUGAUGCUCUUCAUUGAGUGUCUCUAGUUGCUGGAACUCUUACCUUGAAAAAAUUGGAGUGCUCAAGGCAGGCUAAAGCCUGAACAUUGCUGCAUGUGAUAAUAGAAUAGGACUUCGGUUCUAGUUUGUUGGUUUCGGAACACGAAGAUUACUUUGUGUUCCGAAACCAACAAAAUAGAACCGAAGUCCUAUUCGGAUUAAUGAUUAAUAGGGACAGACAGGGGCAUUCGUAUUGCUGCGUUAGAGGUGAAAUUCUUGGAUCGUAGCAAGACGAACU